rnacentral:lncRNA from 10 species
UGGCUUUUUACCAUGAAUAUAGUAGUUAUUAUUGAAGCACACUUUCCUCUAGAACAUUGCUACACAAACAGUGGUACAGGGGCCAGGUACAUUAGUAUCAUAUGUGAUCUUCUUAAAAAUGGAAAAUAUUGGUCCUGACCCCAGAUUUAAAAAGUUACAGCCUUCAUUUUAACAAGAUCUCCACUGCAGAUUUAGGUGCACAUGAACAUUUGAGAAGCACUGCCCUAGGUGUCUUACCCCUAGAGAACAGGUGCAUACACUGGUCAUUCUCUGAUUUCUCUCAGUGCUUAAUACACUUCUUGUGCCAUAAGGUUCUAAUGAUUUGUUAACUAAAUUUCUUAAAACAAAUUCUAAAAACUGAAAAUGCACUCAUACUUUAUUUUUAAUUUUUUCUUGAGAUAAAAUUUACAUUACAUAAAAUUCACAAUUUUAACCAUUUUAAAGUGUACAAUUCAGUGGGAUUUAGUAUAUUUACAAUACUGUAAAACUAACAUCACUAUUUAAUCUAUUUAAUUCCAGAAGAUUUCCUUCAUCCUAAAAAGAAAUUCUAUACCUUCCAGUAUCCCUUCCCCCCACCUCUUGGUAAGAACUACCUUGCUUUCUGUCUCUGUGGAUUUGCCUCUUCUGUACGUUUCAUAUGAAUGGAAUGAUACAUUGAUACAUUAUGUGGCCUUCCUUUUGUGGCUUCUUUCACUUAGCAAAAUGUUUUCAAGGUUCAUCUAUAAAACUUUAUUCCUUUUUAUGGCUAAAUAAUAUUCCAUUGCAUAAAUAUACCACAUUUUAUUUAUCCAUUCAUCAGUUGGCAGGCAUUUGGGUUGUUUUUACUUUUCGGCUAUUAUGAAUAUUGAUAUUCAUACGAAGAUUUGUGUACAAAUUUUUAUGAGAACAUGGUUUUUAAUUUUGGAGGAGUAUAUUCGCAGGAGUGGAACUACUAGGUCCUAUAGUAACUAUAUAUUUAACUUUGAGGAACUGCAAAACUAUUUUCAAUAGCAGCUGCACCAUUUUACAUUCCCACUAGCAAUGUACAGGAACUAAAAUUGUUUAUACCCUUGCCAACUCUUGUUAUUUUUCAUUUUAAAAAAAUUAUACCCAUUCUAGUGAGCAUGAAGUGCUACCUCAUUAUUGGUUUUAUUUUUAGUAGAGAUGGAGUAUCACUAUGUUACCCAGGCUGGUCUCCAACUCCUGGGCUCAAGUAACCCUCCUGCCUUGGCCUCCCAAAGCACUGGAAUUAUAGGGGUGAGCCACCACACCUGGCCCAUUGUAGUUUUGCUUUGCAUUUCCCUAAUGACUAAUGAUGCUGAGCAUAUCUCCAGGUUCUUACUGGCCAUACCUUCUUUGGAGAAAUGUUUAUUAAAAAGCAUUGCCCAUUCUUAACUGUUACUCGUCUAUCGUUGAGUUGUAGGAGGUCUUUAUAUAUUCGGAAUACUAGACGUUUAGCAGACAUAUGAUUUGCAAAUAUUCUCUCCCAUUGUGUGGGCUGUCUUUUCACUCAAUUAAUAGUUUCUUUUGAUACACAACUUUUAAAUUUUUGAUGAAAUAAAAAUUAUCCAUUUUUUUAUUUUGAUAUAUAUGGUUUUGGUGUCAUAUUUAGGUAACCACUGCUUAGUCCAAGUUCACAAAGAUAUACAUCUAUGUUUCCUUCUCAGAAUUUGGUAGUUUUAGUGCUACAUUUAGGUCCCUGAUUCUUUUUGGGUUAAUUUUUGUAUAUGGUGUAAUAUAGGGGUUCAGCUUCAUUAUUUUGCACCUGGAUAUCCAGUUGUCCUAGCACCAUUUGUUGAAAAAACUAUUCUUUCCCUAUUAAAUGGUCUUGACACCAUUGCAGAAAUAAGUUGACUGUAGAUGGACGGACUCAUUUCUGGAUUCUCACUUCUAUUGCAUUGAGAUUACAUAGAUAGAUAGGUAGAUAGACAGACAGAUGAUAGAUAGAUAGAUAGAUAGAUAGAUAGAUAGAUAGAUAGAUGAUAGAUAGAUAGAUAAAUAGACAGGUAGACAUAGAGAUAUCUUAUGCCAAUACCACACUGUUUGAAUACCAUUGUUUUGAAAUUGAAAAGUGUGAAUGCUCUGACUUUGUCCUUCUUUUUAAAGAGUUUUGGCCAUUUUUGGUCCCUUGCAAUUCCAAAUGAGUUUUAAUAUCAGCUUGUCAUAUAAGAUCAUGUCAUCUGCAAAUAGGGAUAGUUUUAUUUCUUCCUUUCCUGUGUGGAUGCAUUUUGUUUCUUUUUUCUUUUCUUUUUCCCCCUAAUUCCCUGGGUAAAAUUUCAAAUGCAAAGUUGAAAGGAAGUGACAACAAUGGACAUCCUUGCCUUUUUCCUGAUUUUAGAAGAAAAGCUUUCAGACUUUCAACAUUAAGUAUGAUGUUAGGUGUGGGUUUCUUAUAGAAACCCUUUAUUAAAUUGAGAAUGUCUUCCUUAUUCCCAGUUUGCUAAGUGUUUUUAUCAUGAAAGCAUAUUGGAUUUUGUCAAAUGCUUUCUCUUUGUCUAUUGAAGUGAUCACAUGUAUUGUUUCUUUCAUUUUAUUAAUAUGGUGUAUUACAUUGAUUAAUUUUUAAAUGUUGAACUACCCUUGCAUUCCUGGGAUAAAUUUCACUUGGUAAUGGCGUAUAAUCCUUCCAAUGUUCUGCUGUAGUCGGUUUAUUAGUACUUUGUUGAAGAUUUUUGCAUGUAUAUACAUUAGGGAUAUUAGGCUGUAGUGUUUUUCUUAAAAAAAAGCUACAUGUUUUCGGCAUUGUAUUGAAGUAGUAUUAGCCUCAUGAUAUGAGUUAAAAAUCAUUCCUUCCUCUUCGUUUUUUUUUUUUUUUUUUUUGGAAGAGUGAGAAGGAUUAGUCUUAACCCUCCUUUUAAUAUUUGGUAAAAUUCACCAGUGAAGCCAUUUUGCUCCUGAACUUUUCUUUUGGGAAGUUUUACGAUUAUUAAUCCAACUUCCUUAUUUGUUAUAUGUCUAUUCAGAUUUUCUAUUUCUUCUGAGUCAGUUUCAGUAGUUUGUGCCUUUCUAGGAAUUUGUCUGUAUUAUCUAAGUUAUGUAACUUUUUGCCAUACAGUUGUUCAUAGCAUCCUCUUAUAAUUAUUUUCACCUCUGUAAGGUCAGUAAAAAUGUCCUUAAUUUCAUUCCUGACUUCUUGCUACUUUCAAAAUUAUCUUUGUCUUUUUCUUUCAAUAGUUUGAUUAUGAUUUGUCUAGGGGUAAAUCUCUUUGAGUUUAUCCUGUUGGGUUUUGUUAAAUUUCUUGGGUGUGUAGAUUAAUGUGUUUCAACAAAUUUGGGGAGUUUUGAGCCAUUAUUUAUUUAAAUAUUCUUCUGCCUUUUUUCUCUUCCCUCUCCUUCUAGGACUCCUCUUAUGUGUAUGUUGGUAUAUAUGAUGAUGUCUCACAGAUCUCUCAUGCUGUAUUCAUUUUUUUCUUUAUUCUCUUUCUGCUCCUCAGAUUGGAUAAUCUUAAUUGAUUUAUCUUCAAAUUAACUGAUAUUUUCUUCUGCCUGCCCAAUCUUCAGUUGAUGAAUUUUUCAUUUUAGUUAUUGUACAUUUCAACUCUUAAAUUUCUAUUUGGUAUCUUUUAAUAAUUUCUAUCCCCUUAUUUCUAGUCUCUAUUUUAUGAGAUGUUUUCGUGCUUUUCUUUUUCUAAGCAGGAUUUCCUGUAGCUCUUUGAACAUAUUUAAAAUAGCUACUUUAAAGUCUUUGUCUUACAAGUCUAAUGUCUGGGCUUUCUUAGGAGCCAGUUAUAUUAAUUGCUAUUUUUUCUGUGUAUGGGCCAUAUUUUCCUGUUUCUUUUCGUGCCCCCAAAUUUUUGUUGCAAAUUUGACAAGUUGGAUAUUACAGCAUGGAAACUCUGGAAAUCAGAUUCUUCCCCUCUUCGGAGUUUGCUUUUUCUGCUUGUUGUAGUUGUUGUUUAUAUUUUAGUGAUUUUUUAAAACUAGUUUUAAAAAAUUAAGCUAAUUUACAAAACUAGUUUUAAAAAAUCACUAAAAUUAAUUCUGUAUUAUUUGUCAUGUGUGCCCCCUGAAGUCUCUGUUCCAUUAGCUUAGUCAUCAGCUAAAGAUUUAACAAAGAUUUCUAUAAAUAUCCUGAACAAAAAAAUUUCCCAAUCUUUGCAGAAGUGUCUGUUUUGAUGCAUGACUUCAAUAUUCAGCCUGGCAAUUUACAACUCAGCUAUAGCUUUCACUUUCUGAUUGCACAGAGCCUGAGGAUCAGCCAGAGGGGAAAAAAUAUUUGCCUGUAAAUGUUUUUGAGCAACGGUUUCCAAGUAGUGGCUUUAGUCCUGGGUGACUUCUGACUUAGGUAAGAUAAAACAAAUCUUUUGAGCCAACCUUCCAAGGAACCACCAGGCAGACCAAGGACGAUCUUUGCAAAAGAGGUCUAUUCUGCUUCUUCAGUGCUGGAACUGGCAAUGCAGGCUUCUAUUGUCAAGGCUACUGCUGAGCUGAGGAAAAAAGGAUAGAACUAGUGUAAGUUAAAACACCACAAAGCUCACUAUAAUUAUAAAGAUUCAGCAGUUUUUCUUGAAUAAAUGCUCCGUGGGUUGUUGCAAGCUUUUGUUAGUUUUCAGCAUUCCAAAAAUAUUGAUUCUGACAGGUUUUUUUCCCCAUUUUUUAGUUGAUUUUAAUGAGGGAUAGACUUUUAGAGUUGCUUACCCUGCCUCUUGUGCUGACGUCAUUCCUCUGCACACAUACUUUUAAUCAGAAUGAGUCAGGUACAUAAAGGAGCAAAUGCAUUAUAGGUCAACAGGUUGCUUUCCAAAUUGUCUCUUCAAAUUCUCUUUCUUUAUGAGAAAAUAUUUUGCUGAGACUUGCUUCUUAAGAAAAUGACCUGUGAUUUAUAUCGUGAUUCAAAUUUUAUGUUGCAAAUCUUCAUAUGAGCAAACGCAUCUCUGAAGAGAUCCAGUGAGAGAGUUGCUCAAUCAUCAAGAUGAAACGAGAGCGCCAGGCCAGGAUGAAAAUAAACUAGUGAUGAACAAGAAGAAAGAUAGAUGAUAUUUAUUGAGACUAUCCAGAGCUGAAGAUACAGCAGUCAUCAAAGCAUAGAAAUUCUUCACUCUCAAGGACCUUACAUUCUAGUAAGAGAAGAAGAAAAUAAAUAAACUCUGUUCUCUCUGUUCUGUCAUCUAUAAAGAGCCACAGUAUGCUGAUGAUUUGGUUUAACCUUACUUGACCUCAGUUUCUUCAUGUGACAGGUAGUGAUCAAAUAAAGGCAUAGAGAUAUGUUGGGAAGUUUUGAGUUUUUAAGUGCUAUGUAGGAAAUGAAGGCAGGGUAAAAGUAUAGUAAGUAAUGAAGGAGGCUAUUAUUUAUGACAGAGUGGUCAAAGAUGUCUUUGAGAAGGUGGCAUAUAAGCAAAGACCUGAGUUGAAGUGAAGGAGCAUGCCAUUCAGUUAUCUGGGGGAAGAUUGUGCAGCAGAGAGGACUGCAGGAGCAAGGGCCUUGAAGUAGGAAUACACCUGGCAUGUUCAAGAAAUAGCAAAGAGGUCAGUGUGGAUGAAAGGCAACAGGCAAAGCUGUAGCAUUCAGAGAUGAGCUCAAAAAGAUAGGCAAGGAACAAGAUCACGUAAAUCGAAAAAGCCUUUGGU